rnacentral:lncRNA from 1 species
CAUGAACCAUCAUUAGAAGAAUAUUGUUGUUAAAAAUAUGGACAAUUUUAUUUUCCCAGAAUGAAUCUUGAGGUCGAAAAAGUAGUACUCAGUUUCUUAGAGGCUAUUCAGCACACUUUCUCCUUUCCAUUCAGCUCUGAGACCAGUUCAUUCUUUAUUCCAAGUCUGUUCAAGAUACAAAUGUAGGAUGGAUGGGCUAAUUGGACAGUCAAUCCAAUGAUAUUUUAGCCUGGACAAAAGGCAUUUCUCAUAUGCUUGGUUUUCCUGGAAAAUAUAGAGAACUUCCCCAAUUAAAAGGAACUUCACCAUUUGGAACUUUAUUGGACAUCAUCCACUAUAUUGGUCAAUACAGUUGGAGUAUGUCUGAAAAAAUGAAAAGGAUUCAAUCACGUUUGGAGACAGACACAUGCUAC